ensembl:lncRNA
GCAUUUGUUACUGCAGCAACAAACUCACCAUGGGAACACUUUUCCAAGAACACUGCAAGAGAGAGCCUUCCCAGCUGAUUCUUUCUGAGCUCAGGGCUUCAUCCAAUCCAUUGAAGACAUGAAGGAAAAAAAAAAAACCUCUCAUGACUGUCUUCAGCCUGGAAUAUCAGUCUUCUCGUGCCUUUGGCCUCCAACGUAGACUGGAACUACAGUACCAGCUCUCCUGAGUCUGGACUUCUCAGCCUUCAAAAUAAUAUGUCUAGAAGUCAGGUGGGGUCAAAGAACAGGCCUCUACCCACAUUUAUGUGGAUAAACGAAGUCACAGCACAAGUCACCUACCCCACGUGGAAGACAGAUCCGCCAGCACUGUCUCCUGCUUGUCUGCUGAACCUGACAUGUGAACCCCCAUCUGGAUGUGGGGCUGGGGAGGUGGUUCCCGCCUGUCCCAGAGGCCCACCUAUUGUCCCUACACAGACAUGGGGUCCAGUAGCAACCCCCGCUGCUGCCUCUCCAAGAAAACGUGACCCAAAGAGCCCUGGCCACUCUCCAGGUGCUGACCAGGUGCCUGUUACUCUCAACAGACCUCCAUCGCCGCCAGAUACAGGCCCUCCUCCACUUUGCAGGCCGUCCAUACCACCCCCUCAGCCACUGCCUGCUACCUCCCCCUCCCCACAAGGCACUGUCCCAGCGCAGGGGCUUUCCUACUUUCACGAUUUGUCCCUGAAGCUGACAUCCUUCAGCCCCGAGAAAGUCAUCUUUCAGGUGGUUAGCCUUACUCACAGGAUGCUCCACAGGAUCCUCAGAGGCCUCCAGCCGGACACAAAUCAUGACCUGGUUUGAUCUUUAAAAUUUCUCAAAAUCUAAUUUUGAAGGCUUUCUUCAAUUCUUUUUAUCAUUAUAUAUACAUAUAAUUAUUUU